UACGAAGGGGGCUAGCGUUGUUCGGAAUUACUGGGCGUAAAGCGCACGUAGGCGGCGCAGCAAGUUGGGGGGUGAAAUCCCGAGGCUCAACCUCGGAAUUGCCUUCAAAACUGCUGUGCUCGAGUUCGGAAGAGGUGAGUGGAAUUCCCAGUGUAGAGGUGAAAUUCGUAGAGAUUGGGAAGAACACCGAGUGGCGAAGGGCGGCUCACUGGUCCGCAACUGACGCUGAGGUGCGAAAGCGUGGGGAGCGAACAGG
rnacentral:rRNA from 1 species